rnacentral:rRNA from 1 species
GCCAGCAGCUAGCUUUCUGCAAUUCUCAAAUGAUCGCCCACUGAAACCAAGCAGGGCUGGGCCCGGUCAGUACCUGGAUGGGAGACCACAUGGGAAAGCUAGGUUGCUGCUGGAA